GGGGAAUUUUGGACAAUGGGCGCAAGCCUGAUCCAGCCAUGCCGCGUGAGUGAAGAAGGCCUUCGGGUUGUAAAGCUCUUUCGGCCGGAACGAAAUCGCGCCCCCUAAUACGGGGUGUGGAUGACGGUACCGGAAGAAGAAGCACCGGCUAACUACGUGCCAGCAGCCGCGGUAAUACGUAGGGUGCGAGCGUUAAUCGGAAUUACUGGGCGUAAAGCGUGCGCAGGCGGCGCGCCAAGUCAGAUGUGAAAGCCCCGGGCUUAACCUGGGAAUUGCGUUUGAAACUGGCGGGCUGGAGUGUGGCAGAGGGAGGUGGAAUUCCACGUGUAGCAGUGAAAUGCGUAGAGAUGUGGAGGAACACCGAUGGCGAAGGCAGCCUCCUGGGCCAACACUGACGCUCAUGCACGAAAGCGUGGGGAGCAAAC
rnacentral:rRNA from 1 species